GGCCGUAUAUGCAGCGCGUGCGUAUAUGCAUGUACAUAUGUGUAGCACGUACUCCGCUCGGAUCCCCGCGCGUCCUGCCGCGGAUUAUACGCGUGCAUUUACGAGUUUGCCCGGCCAUACGCGCGCGCAACACGAAUUGCCCGGGGCGAUGGAGAUUCUAUCGUUCUCUCGCACAUUGCGGAUCGCAUGCGUCUCAGUGGCGAAGCUGCAAAUUGAACAUCUGCCGUCUCGUCUCUCUGCACGAAUGCGCACACGUGUCGUAAAAUCCUAAUUUUUAUCGCGGCGUCGUCCGUAACGACUGUGAAACGCGACCAUUAAAAUUGCUAUCCGACCACGUAUCCCUUUAUGGCGCUACCGAUGAAAACCUAUCGCGAUGGCUAUUACAUUUUUAAUGCCAAGCUUGAGGGGAAGCUUAUCGAAAUUGCACCACUUUUCACACAAUAAAGAAAAAUAUCUUCAACGCACACUCAGCAGACGUGGGCAGUCAUCAACUUACGCGGGUGCAAAUCCGGUAGCAGCCUUCAGGAUG